CGCACACACUAUAUUUACCUUGGCACGUUUGGUUCGCCUUGGUUCUUCUUGAAACUAUUAUGCUGUAUUCUCUUGAGUAUCCAACAAAUGAAUGAUAAAGUUUAGCACACAUGAACUGCUGCUUCUCGCAGCUUUGUGAUGUCAAGCUGUGUCUCGCUGUUUGAAAAGCAAAUCAAUCGGAAGUGAUGCGAGAUUUUGAAAACAUCUCAGGUCGCACCUAUUGACCUCGGUUGACUCUAAUAUUUCAAGUAUGUAUGGCCUCUUGCCAGAAAGUUUCUUUAUUUCAUUUUCCGCAGCGGACAUUGAUGGCUUAAGAUGCGACUGCCCCCAUGUACAAUGUAGUCAAUGUAUGCUUCAUUGUAUACUGAUUAUGAAUAUUAGGCAAAUGAUAGUCGGGUUUAUCGCUCGAUUUCUCUCUCAUCAUAUUUUAAUGACGACUCCGAAAUGAGAUGCAAACGAACACAUCAUCAGUCAUGCACUUGCAUCAAUUCACACUCACUCAGAAAGAUAUGUGAAAAUCUUCUAAAUACUGUAAAUCCAGAACGAAAUCCAUUCUAAGAGAAAUAAUUAAGAACUUCGGCUCGGUACGUGCUACUUGACCCAGAGGCCAGGCUGCUGCAUAUGAUUCCAAGGAAUUGCACUGUAUUGCGAAUAUUAACCUGUAUAGGGGGCAUUAUCAGAAAACAUUGAUCAAAUAUAUGCCUAUCUAUAUACAAUUACGGUUGUUUAAUAAAAUAUUUUACUGCAGGCUAGGUGAAACCAUAUCAAUGGUGAAAACAUCUUUCAAAAGUACUUUUGAAGUUCGGUACUACAAUUCAAAGCCUUUCUUUGUCUCCUUGAUGAAAGAAAUUUGGUUGUAUCCAGAGAUACGUUUCCUCCCUGCCCCUGGUCAACAAAUUAAAAUACUCCAAGGAUUAGCAUCAUGAUGAAUGAUGAUACUCAAGGGAAGACAAGAUGCAUUGAGUUGUGAGGACAAACCACAGACAAACUGACUGACACAAACGAAAGAAUAUAGAUCUAGGAAUCCAAAGCCGGUGUGGGAGUAGGCGAGCUAAAAUUUCAGGAGCCAAUUCAGAAUACUUAUCAGUGUUAUAGUAGUGUUAAUUGUCUUUGACUUGGUAUAAAAGUCUAUUUUUUACUUUAGCCUCAGUUAAAUUUCUUGCUACCUCAUCAGUUGUAUAACUUUUCUUUUGUUCAACCACAUAUAUAGCCAUUUUGUGUUGUCUAGCUGUUGACAAUUUUUGUUGCAACUUGCAACGACGAGUAAAAUUGAAAGUUAGUGAUUAUUUCUUGUCAAAGUUGUCUUUACCAAACUUCAAUAAAGUUAGUGCAG